rnacentral:rRNA from 1 species
GGAUUGAAAUGGGGGCACCCUGAUCCAGCCAUUCCGCGUGAGUGAAGAAGGCCUUCGGGUUGUAAAGCUCUUUCGGCAGGAACGAAACGGCGGGCUCUAACAUAGCCUGUUAAUGACGGUACCUGAAGAAGAAGCACCGGCUAACUACGUGCCAGCAGCCGCGGUAAUACGUAGGGUGCGAGCGUUAAUCGGAAUUACUGGGCGUAAAGCGUGCGCAGGCGGCUUUUUAAGCCAGAUGUGAAAUCCCCGGGCUUAACCUGGGAACUGCAUUUGGAACUGGAAGGCUAGAGUGCGGCAGAGGGGGGUAGAAUUCCACGUGUAGCAGUGAAAUGCGUAGAGAUGUGGAGGAAUACCGAUGGCGAAGGCAGCCCCCUGGGUCGACACUGACGCUCAUGCACGAAAGCGUGGGGAGCAAACAGGAUUAGAUACCCUGGUAGUCCACGCCCUAAACGAUGUCUACUAGUUGUUGGAGGAGUGAAAUCCUUUAGUAACGAAGCUAACGCGUGAAGUAGACCGCCUGGGGAGUACGGUCGCAAGAUUAAAACUCAAAGAAAUUGACGGA